rnacentral:snoRNA from 1 species
GGUUGGAGGUGAUGAGCAAUAGUUCACUUUGAGGAUUUCGUUUCCAUGAAAACCUUUACAGUGUCUUUCGCUCCUAUCUGAUUCCAGUG